GUCUACAGCCAUACCAUCCUGUACACACCUGAUCUUAUCUGAUCUCAGAAGCUAAGCAGGUUUGGGCCUGGUUAGUACUUGGAUGGGAUACUACUUAGAUGAGGAAAUACAAUUGACC
rnacentral:rRNA from 1 species